AAUAACUGUAAUAUGGGGUAUGCUUUCAUCAAUAUGCUCUCUCAUUUACACGUAGUCCCUUUUUAUAAGGCUUUUCAUGAGAAGAAAUGGGAAAAGUUUACUAGUGACAAAGUUGCUACACUUGCUUAUGCACAGAUUCAAGGAAAGGCUGAAAAACUUGCUAAGCAUUUUGAGAAAAGGAUGCACAAGCCUAAGAAAAUAAUGAUCAGGAACUAUUUCCAUCCAGCAACUUGAAUAUAUGAAUAUAUGUCUACGUCAACCGGAUGGAUCGUGCUCAAGUGAUUUUGUUGGAGAAUUCCGAUGGCAUUUUGGAUGAGAAUGAGAUGCUUGAGAAUGAUCGGCCGUUUUGUAUAUUGUUCCCAGGCACGUUACAU